rnacentral:rRNA from 1 species
UACGGGAUAAUAUAUUUGAGAGGCAUCUCUUGAAUAUCAAAGGUGAGCCAGUACAGGAUGGACCCGCGUCUGAUUAGCUAGUUGGUAAGGUAACGGCUUACCAAGGCGACGAUCAGUAGCCGACCUGAGAGGGUGAUCGGCCACAUUGGAACCGAGACACGGUCCAAACUCCUACGGGAGGCAGCAGUGGGGAAUAUUGCACAAGGGGCGAAAGCCUGAUGCAGCAACGCCGCGUGAGUGAUGAAGGCCUUCGGGUCGUAAAACUCUGUCCUCAAGGAAGAUAAUGACGGUACUUGAGGAGGAAGCCCCGGCUAACUACGUGCCAGCAGCCGCGGUAAUACGUAGGGGGCUAGCGUUAUCCGGAUUUACUGGGCGUAAAGGGUGCGUAGG